rfam:Ovis aries breed Texel chromosome 2, whole genome shotgun sequence.
UCCCUGGUGGCUCAGAUGGUAAAGCAUCUGUCUAUGAUGCGGGAGACCCGGGUUCGAUCCCUGGGUUGGGAA